UGCAAGUCGAGCGGUAGAGAGAAGCUUGCUUUUCUUGAGAGCGGCGGACGGGUGAGUAAUGCCUAGGAAUCUGCCUAGUGGUGGGGGAUAACGUUCGGAAACGGACGCUAAUACCGCAUACGUCCUACGGGAGAAAGCGGGGGAUCUUCGGACCUCGCGCCAUUAGAUGAGCCUAGGUCGGAUUAGCUAGUUGGUGAGGUAAUGGCUCACCAAGGCGACGAUCCGUAACUGGUCUGAGAGGAUGAUCAGUCACACUGGAACUGAGACACGGUCCAGACUCCUACGGGAGGCAGCAGUGGGGAAUAUUGGACAAUGGGCGAAAGCCUGAUCCAGCCAUGCCGCGUGUGUGAAGAAGGUCUUCGGAUUGUAAAGCACUUUAAGUUGGGAGGAAGGGCAGUAACCUAAUACGUUAUUGUUUUGACGUUACCGACAGAAUAAGCACCGGCUAACUUCGUGCCAGCAGCCGCGGUAAUACGAAGGGUGCAAGCGUUAAUCGGAAUUACUGGGCGUAAAGCGCGCGUAGGUGGUUCAGUAAGUUGGAAGUGAAAUCCCCGGGCUCAACCUGGGAACUGCUUUCAAAACUGCUGAGCUAGAGUACGGUAGAGGGUGGUGGAAUUUCCUGUGUAGCGGUGAAAUGCGUAGAUAUAGGAAGGAACACCAGUGGCGAAGGCGACC
rnacentral:rRNA from 1 species